CCUACGGGUGGCAGCAGUGAGGAAUAUUGGUCAAUGGGCGAAAGCCUGAACCAGCCAAGUCGCGUGAGGGAGUACGGCCCUAUGGGUUGUAAACUUCUUUUAUAUGGGAAUAAAAUGUUCCACGUGUGGGAUUUUGUAUGUACCAUAUGAAUAAGGAUCGGCUAACUCCGUGCCAGCAGCCGCGGUAAUACGGAGGAUCCGAGCGUUAUCCGGAUUUAUUGGGUUUAAAGGGAGCGUAGGUGGAUUGUUAAGUCAGUUGUGAAAGUUUGCGGCUCAACCGUAAAAUUGCAGUUGAAACUGGCAGUCUUGAGUACAGUAGAGGUAGGCGGAAUUCGUGGUGUAGCGGUGAAAUGCUUAGAUAUCACGAAGAACUCCGAUUGCGAAGGCAGCUCACUGGACUGCAACUGACACUGAGGCUCGAAAGUGUGGGUAUCAAACAGGAUUAGAUACCCUUGUAGUC
rnacentral:rRNA from 1 species